CUCUUUCGUUGCACAAAUAAAACUGAACCCACUGAUUCGGAUAAAACAGAUGAUUUCUCAAAUAGUAUUAACAUCUAAGUAGAUACAUGUCAGUGUAUUAACAAACCGAAAGAGGCAAGGCAACGGAACUAAGUUCCGAAGUGCAGAAAUACCCAGACAUUAAUCAAGACUGAUGAAUCCUAAAGCAGAACCCAGAUAUUCAAAAAUGAUAACAGAAAAUCAAAGUCAAAUACCCUAUAAAGACACUAGUCUUUCUCCUUAGGAGGGACCUUGGAGUCCAGUUCCUUGGGCUUUACCUUCUCAGC
rnacentral:lncRNA from 1 species